ACAUAUAAUUUAAUUUAGGAAAAAGAUUUACACACAUUUGUAUCGACUCUCUAUUUUGUGAGGCCGGGUGAUAUGGGGGAAAGGACACAGGGUUAAGCAUUCAGAAAUCUUAACUGCAGCCCUGGCUUUCCUGCUGCCGGACAUUCAAAGCCUUCAAGCUCUGCUCUCUUCCCAGGACGGCUUUGGGCACCACAUGCUGGUGGGGAUGUGCCCUGAUGCUGUCUGCGUAGCGUUGUUUCACGCUCACCUGGGAAACGAGCACACGCCAGCACAGUGCGGCGGCUGUUACGGGUCCACUGCUAAGGAAUUCCAGGAAGCACAGAUUCCUCAGCACCAACCUGAGGUCAGAGUCCUAAGGGUCCGUUUAUAACUAUAAAUCCACACGACCCCGGCUUGGAGGCUGCGGCUUUGACAGCAUCAGAAACCUCCCAAGAGGCAUCUUUGGUGCUAAAUGGAACUAGAAAGAGAAAUUAGGUAUAAAAUUGCUGACGUUCAGUGAACGCUUCCAGGUUCCAGGCACCGCGCUGACCACUGGACACCCACUAUGACAUUCACUCAGCAUUCGGCCUCGUGAACC